rnacentral:rRNA from 1 species
ACGGAUAUCUUGGCUCUUGCAACGAUGAAGAACGCAGCGAAAUGCGAUACGUAGUGUGAAUUGCAGAAUUCCGCGAAUCAUCGAGUCUUUGAACGCAAGUUGCGCCCGC